rnacentral:rRNA from 1 species
UCAGGUGGUUAUUGCGGUGAGGUCCCACCUCUUCCCAUUCCGAACAGAAGUUAAGCUCACUUGCGCCGAUGGUACUGCAAUGCAAUGCGGAGAGUAGGUAGCCGCCUCCU